rnacentral:rRNA from 1 species
AAACGACUCUCGGCAACGGAUAUCUCGGCUCUCGCAUCGAUGAAGAACGUAGCGAAAUGCGAUACUUGGUGUGAAUUGCAGAAUCCCGUGAACCAUCGAGUCUUUGAACGCAAGUUGCGCCCAAAGCCUUUCGGCCGAGGGCACGUCUGCCUGGGUGUCACGC